CUACGGGAUGCUGCAGUGAGGAAUUUUGCGCAAUGGGGGCAACCCUGACGCAGCAACGCCGCGUGAGUGAAGAAGGCCUUUGGGUCGUAAAGCUCUGUCGACAGGGAAGAAGUUAUUGUUGUUUAACAGAUGACAGUAUUGACGGUACCUGUAGAGGAAGCACCGGCUAACUCCGUGCCAGCAGCCGCGGUAAUACGGGGGGUGCAAGCGUUAUUCGGAAUUAUUGGGCGUAAAGGGCGCGUAGGCGGUCUUGUCGGUCAGAUGUGAAAGCCCAGGGCUCAACCCUGGACGUGCAUUUGAAACAGCAAGACUCGAGUACGGGAGAGGAAAGCGGAAUUCCUGGUGUAGAGGUGAAAUUCGUAGAUAUCAGGAGGAACACCGAUGGCGAAGGCAGCUUUCUGGACCGAUACUGACGCUGAGGCGCGAAGGUGUGGGUAGCGAACGGGAUUAGAUACCCUAGUAGUC
rnacentral:rRNA from 1 species